rnacentral:rRNA from 1 species
AUUGAACGCUGGCGGCAGGCCUAACACAUGCAAGUCGAGCGGAGCGGCGGACGGGUGAUUAAUGCCUAGGAAUCUGCCUGGUCGUGAGGGAUAACGUCCGGAAACGGGCGCUAAUACCGCAUACUAUCAGAUGAGCCUCGUUCGGAGUACGGAGUUGGUGGGGUAAAGGCCUACAAAGGCGAAGAUCCGUAACUUUUGUGAGAGGAUGAUCAGUCACACUGGAACGGAGACACAGUCCAGACUCCGACGGAAGUCAUCAGUGGGGAAGAGUGGACAAGUGUCGAAAGCCUGAUCCAGCCAUGCCGCGUGUGUGAAGAAGGUCUUCGGAUUGUAAAGCACUUUAAGUUGGGAGGCGUUACCAACAGAAUAAGCACCGGCUAACUUCGUGCCAGCAGCCGCGGUAAUAC